rnacentral:tRNA from 3 species
AAAAAUUAUAAGAUUCCUUUUAAUCCGCUAAAUUAAAAAGGCUGUAGUGCAACCCUAUAGAAUUUUUG